CGCGUAGGCGGUUUGUUCAGUCAGUUGUUAAAUCUCCCGGCUUAACCGGGAAAAGGCUAUUGAUACUGGCAGACUAGAGGAUGAGAGAGAGGGGUGGAAUUCUCGGAGUAGCGGUAAAAUGCGUAGAUCUCGAGAGGAACACCGAUGGCGAAGGCAGCCCCUUGGCUCACUCCUGACGCUGAGGCGCGAAAGCGUGGGUAGCAAACAGGAUUAGAUACCCUGGUAGUCC
rnacentral:rRNA from 1 species